rnacentral:rRNA from 1 species
GAGUAAUGUCUGGGAAACUGCCUGAUGGAGGGGGAUAACUACUGGAAACGGUAGCUAAUACCGCAUAACGUCGCAAGACCAAAGAGGGGGACCUUCGGGCCUCUUGCCAUCGGAUGUGCCCAGAUGGGAUUAGCUUGUUGGUGGGGUAACGGCUCACCAAGGCGACGAUCCCUAGCUGGUCUGAGAGGAUGACCAGCCACACUGGAACUGAGACACGGUCCAGACUCCUACGGGAGGCAGCAGUGGGGAAUAUUGCACAAUGGGCGCAAGCCUGAUGCAGCCAUGCCGCGUGUAUGAAGAAGGCCUUCGGGUUGUAAAGU